UGGGGCAAAUCCUCGAGCUUGAUGUGU
rnacentral:piRNA from 1 species